rnacentral:rRNA from 1 species
UACAGAGGUCUCAAGCGUUGUUCGGAUUCAUUGGGCGUAAAGGGUGCGUAGGCGGCGCGGUAAGUCGGGUGUGAAAGCUCGGGGCUCAACCCCGAGUCGGCCGUGCGAACUGUUUUGCUGGAGCACUGUAGAGGCAGGCGGAAUUCCGAAUGUAGCAGUGGAAUGCGUAGAGAUCCGGAAGAACACCGGUGGCGAAGGCGGCCUGCUGGGCAGUUGCUGACACUGAGGCGCGACAGCGUGGGGAGCAAACAGG